rnacentral:rRNA from 1 species
UCGAGCGAGAAGCCCUUUCGGGGGUGAGUAAAGCGGCGGAUGGGUGAGUAACGCGUGGACAACCCAUCCAAUGGUUCGGGAUAACCCUGCGAAAGCGGGGCUAAUACCGGAUAAUCCGGAUACUUCUUUGGAGGUUUUCGGUAAAGCAUGCCUCUGCAGCAAGCAUGCGCCAUUGGCAGGGUCCGCGUCCCAUUAGCUAGUCGGUAGGGUAACGGCCUACCGAGGCGACGAUGGGUAGCUGGUUUGAGAGGAUGAUCAGCCACAUUGGGACUGGAACACGGCCCAAACUCCUACGGGAGGCAGCAGUGGGGAAUCUUGGGCAAUGGGCGAGAGCCUGACCCAGCGACGCCGCGUGAGGGAAGAAGGCCCUCGGGUCGUAAACCUCUGUCAGGAGGGAAGAAAAUGCUACAUAUUAACAGUGUGUAGUAUUGACGGUACCUCCGAGGAAGCGCCGGCCAACUCCGUGCCAGCAGCCGCGGUAAUACGAGGAGGUGUCGAUCUGGGCUAA